rnacentral:lncRNA from 1 species
CUUCACUCCUCUCAACUGGGCAGGAGCAGAUCGCCCUCUGCUGGUUCUGUUUUCUGUUAUCCCUCAGUAUAACCAAAACUGCACCCCCAAAAUACAAGGCUCCGGGAUAUCUUCUUUCCAACAGUGUGGUUGUGUUUUUUCCUUUAGAUGAAAAACUCACUGGAUGGAAGUGUUUGCCUGGACGGAGGACCUGCGCCAGGCAAUUCUCCCAGAAUGGAACCUUGCCACGACUUCACUGUACAGCUGGCCAUGCAAGACCAUCUAUGCUCUGGCAAAGAGAGGGAGAAGGAAUGUCCCUGCAUGGGUUGGAAGAGAUACGACACCACACAGAGCUUGUUCUUAUAGGAUUCUGUCUUGAGAAUACAGACAUAUUUUAUAUUACCUUGCGUUAAAAAAUUUAUUCUUCUUUCCUACAUCCCUACUGCAGUUCCCUUCCCUCCACUCCUCCCAGCUCCCCCUGCACCUUUCCCUCAGAUCCACUGCUCCUUUGUUUCCCUUCCUAAAACAGUAGGCCUCCCAGGGCUAUCCACCAAACAUGGCCUAACAAGAUACAAUGAGACCAGGCAUCAAACCUCAUAUCAAGGCUGGACGAGGCAACCCAGUAGGAGGAAAGGGUCCCAAGAGCAGGCCAGAGUACUCACUUUGCUUUUUAAAAAAUGUGUUUAAAGAUCUAUUUAUUCCAUGUGUAUGAGUGUCUUGGCUACAUACAUGUAGGGGCACUGCAUGAGUGUCUGGUGCUCACAGAGGUCAGAAGAGGGCAUAGGGUCCUCCUGCAACUAUAGUUACAGAUGGUUGUGAGCCGCCAUGUGGAUUCUGGAAGUGGAAGCCAGGUCCUCUGCAAGAGCAGCCAGUGCUCCUAACUGCCGAGCCAUCUCUCCAGCUUUGCCACCCAAACUCUCCUACCCACCUCCUUCCAAGUGUUGAGCCUACAAGUGAAUACCAACUCUCUUGGUUAUGAAAUACCAGCUUCCUGCAUUCUAGGCAAGGACUUCCUCCGUGAGUAACAUUGCUGGCUAUCUUUUUACUUUACAUGUUGCUCUUGCAGAGACGUUUAGGGGGUACCUGCUCUACCCUAGCCACAGAACAGUUGGGAACCUGAGUCACAAAGACUCAUCCAAAUGAAGGCUAUGUCAGGCCGGGGAUUCGAAGGAAGCCUGCUUCCCUGUGAUCAGCAUCACUUGGGCUUCUGUUGGUGGUCUCUUAGCUUCCGUUGAGAGAAUUCUUCAAAGAUGAGUUACAGCUCUCAUCCAUGCAAGCUCGGAUUCUUUGAGGCAGCGUUAAUCAGCUAUUCACUGCUGUCGCAGAACACCCGUGACCAACAACUUAGGCUCAAAAGCUUUAUUUUGGCUCGAGGCUUCAGUCCAUGGAUGCGUGUUUCCAUUGUUCCGGUCUCUGUGAGUUUUCUCUAGUUCCGGCUGCUCCAGGGGCUUAUGUCUUAGGC